UAUGUUUGGACUGUUCUAUUUUGGAGUUUUGGUAUCUAAAAACUAUGUUUCCAUUUAGUUGUGAAGGAGUUUAUACCCCUACAGGCCAACACAAAAAGUUGUGUUUGAGAAUGAACAGGACAAGAGCAGACUGACGAAGACACAGAGACAGUGUCACUUGGUGACUUCUGAACCUCUGCAUGUUAGUCUAAUAGUGUUUGAAUUGGCAUGGUGAACCACACACACCUGGCAGCAGAGAUCAGUGGGCUAACAAUGGAAUCAGAACUGAAGAGGAUCCAAGUCUGUUUCACCCUUAAGAAAAAAUGAAAGCUCACAGUCUAUGAAAGAAGAUACUGGAAACUGCUACCUUCUGAAAAGACACCAAUAAGUAUUAAUCAAACACCUAUUGAAAGAAAUGAAUUUCCUCCAUUACCAGAAGACUGAGAAAGAAGAAGUGCCAUUACCAGAAGACUUAGAAAGAAGAAGUGCCAUGUUAGAUGGGCUCACCAUUGGAGCAACACUUUCACCAUCUCUAAAGUCAGAUUGCAGGAUGGGAAGAAUGAGAAGUCAUGGAAUGCCAGCUCCAGCAGUAGUGGUGGCAAAAACUCGCUUGCAGUACUACACUGGGGGUCGAGCCUGCCGAGUCCAAGAUGGAGUCGCAGGUGGAGACGGAGGCGACCUCUGAAGACAUCCUUGGUGAGUUUCCCGGGUCCCUUGGGAUGUCUGCAGUUGGGCCGCUGAGAAAGUGGGGAGGACACGAAGAGGGCUUCCACAGGAAGGCCC
rnacentral:lncRNA from 1 species